GAUGAACGCUGGCGGCGUGCCUAAUACAUGCAAGUCGAGCGAACAGACGAGGAGCUUGCUCCUCUGACGUUAGCGGCGGACGGGUGAGUAACACGUGGAUAACCUACCUAUAAGACUGGGAUAACUUCGGGAAACCGGAGCUAAUACCGGAUAAUAUAUUGAACCGCAUGGUUCAAUAGUGAAAGACGGUUUUGCUGUCACUUAUAGAUGGAUCCGCGCCGCAUUAGCUAGUUGGUAAGGUAACGGCUUACCAAGGCAACGAUGCGUAGCCGACCUGAGAGGGUGAGCGGCCACACUGGAACUGAGACACGGUACAGACUCCUACGGGAGGCAGCAGUAGGGAAUCGUCCGCAAUGGGCGAAAGCUUGACGAAGCAAUGCCGCGUGAGAGAUGAAGGUCUUCGGAUCGUAAUACUCUGUUAUUAGGGACGAACAAAUGUGUAAGUAACUAUGCACGUCUUGACGGUACCUAAUCAGAAAGCCACGGCUAACUACGUG
rnacentral:rRNA from 1 species